rnacentral:ncRNA from 1 species
CUUAAGAUGAGACCAUCCUAAACCUCACCCAGCAUAGACACAGACAGCUCUUUCUCGAUUCCGUGGGUGGCGGUGGUGCGUGGCUGUUCUUAGUUGAGGGAGCUAUUUGUCUGGUUAAUUCUGAUAACGAAUGAGACUAUGGCAUGCUAACUAGUUACGUGACCCCCCAGCAGUCGGCGUCCCCCAACUUCUUAGAGGGACAAGUGGCGUUCAGCCACUUGAGAUUGACCAAUAACAGGUCUGUGAUGCCCUUAGAUGUCCGGGGCUG